rnacentral:rRNA from 1 species
UACGAAGGGGGCUAGCGUUGCUCGGAAUCACUGGGCGUAAAGGGUGCGUAGGCGGGUCUUUUAAGUCAGGGGGUGAAAUCCUGGAGCUCAACUCCAGAACUGCCUUUGAUACUGAGGAUCUUGAGUUCGGGAGAGGUGAGUGGAACUGCGAGUGUAGAGGUGAAAUUCGUAGAUAUUCGCAAGAACACCAGUGGCGAAGGCGGCUCACUGGCCCGAUACUGACGCUGAGGAGCGAAAGCGGUGGGGAGCGAACAGG